rnacentral:rRNA from 1 species
UGCGUAGGUGGUUUUUUAAGUCAGAGGUGAAAGGCUACGGCUCAACCGUAGUAAGCCUUUGAAACUGGGAAACUUGAGUGCAGGAGAGGAGAGUGGAAUUCCUAGUGUAGCGGUGAAAUGCGUAGAUAUUAGGAGGAACACCAGUUGCGAAGGCGGCUCUCUGGACUGUAACUGACACUGAGGCACGAAAGCGUGGGGAGCAAACA